rnacentral:rRNA from 1 species
GACGUAAGGCGCGAGCGUUGUCCGGAUUUAUUGGGCGUAAAGGGCUCGUAGGCGGUUUGUUGCGUCGGGAGUGAAAACUCAGGGCUUAACCCUGAGCCUGCUUCCGAUACGGGCAGACUAGAGGUAUGCAGGGGAGAACGGAAUUCCUGGUGUAGCGGUGAAAUGCGCAGAUAUCAGGAGGAACACCGGUGGCGAAGGCGGUUCUCUGGGCAUUACCUGACGCUGAGGAGCGAAAGUGUGGGGAGCGAACAGG